UGUGCGGCAGGCUUACACAUUCAAGCGAGCGGAUGACGGGAGCUUGCUCCUUGAUUCAGCGGCGGAGGUAAUGCCUAUGAAUCUGCCUGGUAGUGGGGGACAACGUUUCGAAAGGAACGCUAAUACCGCAUACGUCCUACGGGAGAAAGCAGGGGACCUUCGGGCCUUGCGCUAUCAGAUGAGCCUAGGUCGGAUUAGCUAGUUGGUGAGGUAAUGGCUCACCAAUGCGACGAUCCGUAACUGGUCUGAGAGGAUGAUCAGUCACACUGGAACUGAGACACGGUCCAGACUCCUACGGGAGGCAGCAGUGGGGAAUAUUGGACAAUGGGCGAAAGCCUGUCCACCUGCCGGUGUGUGAAGAACGUUUCGGAUUGUAAAGCACUUUAAGUUGGGAAGAAAGGCAG
rnacentral:rRNA from 1 species